UGAUGUGGGGGAUAACCAUUGGAAACGAUGGCUAAUACCGCAUAAUCUCUUCGGACCAAAGAGGGGGACCUUCGGGCCUCUCGCGUCAGGAUUUGCCCAGGUGAGAUUAGCUUGUUGGUGAGGUAAGAGCUCACCAAGGCGACGAUCUCUAGCUGGUCUGAGAGGAUGAUCAGCCACACUGGAACUGAGACACGGUCCAGACUCCUACGGGAGGCAGCAGUGGGGAAUAUUGCACAAUGGGGGAAACCCUGAUGCAGCCAUGCCGCGUGUGUGAAGAAGGCCUUCGGGUUGUAAAGUACUUUCAGUUGUGAGGAAGGCGUAGUCGUUAAUAGCGGAUGUGUUUGACGUUAGCGACAGAAGAAGCACCGGCUAACUCCGUGCCAGCAGCCGCGGUAAUACGGAGGGUGCGAGCGUUAAUCGGAAUUACUGGGCGUAAAGCGCAUGCAGGCGGCUUGUUAAGUCAGAUGUGAAAGCCCGGGGCUCAACCUCGGAAUAGCAUUU
rnacentral:rRNA from 1 species